CUUGUGAAGAGGAUGCCUGCUUCCCCUUGUGCCACGAUUGUAACUUCCUUGAGGCCUCCCCAGCCAUGCAGAACUGAGACUGGACACAGGCAUGUACAGUGGGAUGCCCAUGUGAAGGCACAGUCAGAAUGUGGCCAUCUGCAAGCCAAGGAGAGAGGCCUCAGAAUGAAACAAGUCCUGCCGACACCUUGAUCUUGGACUUCAGGCUUCAGAACUCUGAGAAGAUAACUAAACUAAAGUUGUUGACCAUGUCUCAGCUUGAAAUGACCUGGAUGAUCACGGCUUGCCCUGGGGAUCCUGUUCAGGAGGCCACUUCUUGGUAAUGGCACACAAAAGUACUAAUUUGGUUGUAAUGUCCAGGACUCCAGUUCAUAGAGAACUCAGUAUCAUCUCACCUGCCCUUGGUAAGUAAGCUCCAGAGAUCUGUUCUAUUACCUCCCUUUAUUAACAAAACAUGCAAGAUUCAGUGCCAUGAGCUGUUAAAGCAAUAGGAUUUGUUUCAGGUGCCAGAACAUUGCUUUUCUAGGAGCACUUUCAUUUUGCUUCAAUUGUGUAUAGGAAAAUUCCCAAGGAGGAGACCACCUUGUUUGCCCAGUGCCUGAUUGCUAUCGGGGAAAGUGUUCAGUGUUUAGAAUCCGUUAUCUUCCAACUCCCAGCUCAGCCUCUGAUAAAUGGUGUUUCAUGGGCAUGUUGCUGUCCUCUUUUUGGGCUUCAGUUUCUCCAGAUGAAAUAUAAUAAAGUCAAAGCAGUGUAAUCA
rnacentral:lncRNA from 13 species